GACGAACGCUGGCGGCGUGCUUAACACAUGCAAGUCGAACGGAAAGGCCCUGCUUUUGUGGGGUGCUCGAGUGGCGAACGGGUGAGUAACACGUGAGUAACCUGCCCUUGACUUUGGGAUAACUUCAGGAAACUGGGGCUAAUACCGGAUAGGAGCUCCUGCUGCAUGGUGGGGGUGGGAAAGUUUCGGGGGUUGGGGAAGGACUCGCGGCUUAUCAGCUUGUUGGUGGGGUUGUGGCUUACCAAGGCUUUGGGGGGUAGCCGGCCUGAGGGGGUGACCGGCCACAUUGGGACUGAGAUACGGCCCAGACUCCUACGGGGGGCAGCAGUGGAGAAUAUUGCACAAUGGGCGGAAGCCUGAUGGAGCCACGCCGCGUGCGGGAUGACGGCCUUCGGGUUGUAAACCGCUUUCGCCUGUGACGAAGCGUGAGUGACGGUAAUGGGUAAAGAAGCACCGGCUAACUACGUG
rnacentral:rRNA from 1 species